GGAAUGGCGAUGGAUACUGGGCAGCUAGAGUGUGUAAGAGGAUGGGUGAAUUACCGGUGUAGCGGUGAAAUGCGUAGAGAUCGGGAGGAACAUCAGUGGCGAAGGCGGCCAUCUGGGACAACACUGACGCUGAGGCACGAAAGCGUGGGGAGCAAACAGG
rnacentral:rRNA from 1 species